UACGUAGGGUGCGAGCGUUGUCCGGAAUUAUUGGGCGUAAAGAGCUCGUAGGCGGUCUGUCGCGUCUGCUGUGAAAACCCGAGGCUCAACCUCGGGCCUGCAGUGGGUACGGGCAGACUAGAGUGCGGUAGGGGAGAAUGGAACUCCUGGUGUAGCGGUGGAAUGCGCAGAUAUCAGGAAGAACACCGAUGGCGAAGGCAGGUCUCUGGGCCGUAACUGACGCUGAGGAGCGAAAGCGUGGGGAGCGAACAGG
rnacentral:rRNA from 1 species